rnacentral:rRNA from 1 species
UACGAAGGGGGCUAGCGUUGCUCGGAAUUACUGGGCGUAAAGGGCGCGUAGGCGGACAGUUUAGUCAGAGGUGAAAGCCCAGGGCUCAACCUUGGAAUUGCCUUUGAUACUGGCUGUCUUGAGUUCGGGAGAGGUGAGUGGAAUGCCGAGUGUAGAGGUGAAAUUCGUAGAUAUUCGGCGGAACACCAGUGGCGAAGGCGGCCAACUGGACCAGUACUGACGCUGGAGGCGCGAAAGACGUGGGGAGCAAACAGG